rnacentral:rRNA from 1 species
GGCGGCAGGCCUAACACAUGCAAGUCGAGCGGAUGAAGGGAGCUUGCUCCCGGAUUCAGCGGCGGACGGGUGAGUAAUGCCUAGGAAUCUGCCUGGUAGUGGGGGAUAACGUCCGGAAACGGGCGCUAAUACCGCAUACGUCCUGAGGGAGAAAGUGGGGGAUCUUCGGACCUCACGCUAUCAGAUGAGCCUAGGUCGGAUUAGCUAGUUGGUGGGGUAAAGGCCUACCAAGGCGACGAUCCGUAACUGGUCUGAGAGGAUGAUCAGUCACACUGGAACUGAGACACGGUCCAGACUCCUACGGGAGGCAGCAGUGGGGAAUAUUGGACAAUGGGCGAAAGCCUGAUCCAGCCAUGCCGCGUGUGUGAAGAAGGUCUUCGGAUUGUAAAGCACUUUAAGUUGGGAGGAAGGGCAGUAAGUUAAUAC